CUCCAGCCUGGGUGAUAGAGUGAGACUCUGUCUCAAAAUGAAAUAAAGUCCUUAUAAGAAGUAUCCUCAUGUUUACUAAGAGGAUACAAAAUGAAAGUAUAAAAAUCUCCAUUGUUUUUAAACAUUUUAUCACAAAGGUCAUAAUAGGGUAAUCUCAAUUUCUUAGCCUGUGUGAGCCUCUGUUUAUUUCCUCUGAGACUUAAAUGAGACAAUAUGAUACUUUACCCUGGAAAAUCAUGAAUGAUAAAGAGCAAAGUGUGCUGAUUAGAGUAUUUUUCUCAACCUCUAUUGCCCUUUUGGGUUCUUUUCUCAAAGAAUUACACACACGGAGCUGCAUUCUUCUAUGAAGAGCUCAUAAAUAGAAUGAUUUCCCAACAAUAUUGAAUCACCAAAGGGUGAAAACCUGAUUCUAUUCUGAUCCCAGAAAAUAAGUAACGGUUGCUUUUCUGUUAGUGAAUGGAAAUAAAAUGGUUAAAAUGUAAUAAAACACCUCUGAUCCUUCUCAUUUUGUAAAAGCAAAAUGAGAAAGGAACACUUAGACUAUGCCAGAAAGAGAAUAGGAUGUGGGCUUAAAGAUGAAAGAAACCCUAGAAAAGAAAUUAUUAGAAUAAUGAGGAGGUCAAGAAAAGAUCCACAUGAACACACACGAACAAAAACAGAUGAACUUGUUUAAAUCACAGAACAAUGAGCAUGUAUUGCCCAGAAAAAUGGAGGUAACUAGAACUCAAACAAAUAUCAUAGAGCAUUUGAGGAAAAGACAGAAAACUUGUUAGGCACAGAUUGAAGGAAAGGACAUUCUAGGAAGGAGAAAUAACAGAAAUGCUAUAUAAAUUUAGCUAUAGUGCUGCAUUUAUAUAGCAUUUUACUGUUUCAAACCAUUUUCAUAUUAUCCCAUUUAUUCUCCAAAAGAGCCAUAAAAUAGAGAGUUUAUUUAUUCACUUGCCUCGUUAAAAUGGAUUCCAGAGGCUUAGUAUGGGAUGUCGAGUAUGACGAGACUAAUAAGAAAAGUGAGGCAAAAGAAAAAAUAAAACAAAAAUAGAUAUUAUGUGAAGUCAGAAAUGAAUAGUUAUUAAUGAUAUUAUUAACAUUACAUUAUUAAAUAUUCUUAGAUUAAUAUUAUUCUGAUGCUAAAUUAUUAUUAUUAGUGCUCUAUUACCCCCAACAAGGUCAAAUGAGUCCCAGGUCAACUAAAGAGUGGCAGAUUCUAGACUUAGAAUCAUUUAACUGGUGUUCUUUCUUUUAAAAUCAUCAGCAAUUACUAAGGGGGGGCAGUCCCUAAAAAUAACAGAUAAAAAAAGCAGCCUGCAAGCUCUCAAAGAAAUUUUGAGUUUUUUGCAGAUUUACUUCUGUAUGCAUUUUCUACAACCACUUGAAUAAUGGAUCAUCGCACAGUAGUUGCUCUAAAUCAAUGUAAGAUUGUCUUAGGAGAGAAUCUUGUGAAACCAGAAGGAUCUGCGGGUUACUUACCUCUCCUCUCAUUCUUUUGUAGAUUUCUCCCUAGACCAGAGGUUAUUUUGGGGCUUUCUCAUGAAUACAGAUAACUGUGCAGUACUCUCUAGGGUUUUGGUAGCUUUGCGAAGUAAUUAAAUAGUAAUGCUCCUGAGAUGCCGCUACUGGGCAGUGACUGGGGGAGUAAGAUCAGGGGUGAGGUUUGUGAUCUUGAGGAGGAUAAUAAUGCAUUCAAUGAUGAAACAUAAGGAGGCAGCCUGAGAGGCGGAUUAAAGGGAAGGGCUUCGAAUGAGAAUGCUACACACAAGCCCAAAUCUGCUACUUAGCAUAUGUUUGUGGGCAAGUUACUGUUCCUCUCUGCUAUUACCCUUUAUCCCAUGCAAAAUUGAGAUAAUAGCCAUUACUGCCUUGUGCAGUGGAUAUAAAAAUUAAAUGAGAUAAAGCAUGAAAACAUUUAGAAGAGGGCUUGAUACAUAGUGCUGGAAAAGAAAAAAAGCUCUAUUAUGAUUUCACAAGUGCUGGAAGUGACUUUCUGAUAAAAGGGCUUUAAUUGACUUCCUUUAUCUCUUCAACCUGCUGACUUAUGGUAACGGCAUACAGACUGUGCACAGGGAGGCCCUUGUGUCAGAGAGGCAUCUGCCCAUCACCCAGCCCUUCCCACUGACUAGCAAAGCAGGUGGGCUGCAUUUAACAAAGAAUACAGGAAGGAAGCAAAACCUCCCAAAGAAACCAAUUGACUAAAACUUCGCACUUAAAGACACCACUUUGAACACAUGUAAAAGCCAAACCCAAAACAGAUUUAGUUUGAAGGGUUGUGUAUAACCCAUAAAGAGGAGCAAAGCAAUCUUUUCAAUAGACUACUGGCCUGCCUAGUAUAUUUGCUUCCCAAAGAAGGAGAAGCUCACUCAAGAGCCUCAAGUCCUUCACUCAGCACCAUUUCUGCUAUUGGAGGGCCACAAGUAUACUGCUACAGCCAAAACCAGGAGAUUGACCUUCCAGAACAGACCUCAGAAUGUGCACAUCCAGGAGAUGGAAUAGAAGGGCACUGAUCGUGGAUCUUCCUAAUCCACCUCCCUUCCCUUCUCUCACCUAUGCAUCUUCCCAGGAAGUCAUCUCUGCACGAAAGAUAAAUUGAAAUGUAUUGUACAGUGUUCAUUAUUACUAUUUUAAGAGCUAUUUAAUUGCCACUUUAAGGUCUUUGACAUUCUCUUUUCCAGUCUUUCUGUUUUAUUUAUCUGAAUGUUUAAAUAUAUAUUAAGAACUUUCAAAAAUACACCUGCCCUCAGGUGAAUUCUCAGUUCCCUCAUAUUCCUCAACCAUGAAUUAUUCUACUACAAGAGCUUUGUGAAUUCUAAUGCUGAUGGCUG
rnacentral:lncRNA from 1 species